AUUGCUUAUUUUCUUCUACACACUACUGCAUAACACAUGGAAGCGUUGCCAGAUUGAGUCCAUGUCUUCACACAGAGUGUCUCCUGUGACGACCAUGAAGGGCCGAUGAGGGGAGCUGAUGAAAUCUGUUCAAUCUAGAAGCCACUAGUUUUCUGCCCAGUGUGAUGUAGUAUGUUGUAAUGUGUUUACUGUAGGUCUAAUAUGACUACAUCUUAAUUUAUUUCUCUUUCCGUUAGAUUCUGGCUGAGUUCUGUCGCUUAUCAAGCAAAAAUCUGAGUUGCAAUCAGAGUUCUUCAAAGAUCUCGACAAAUAUACUCCUCGCUUCCUGGAGAAGUUCAAAACCCAGAGGGGGAAAGUGUCGGACAGAAACUUGAAUAUCUGCAACAAGUCACACCUGGGAGUACAGAUGUGACUGGGAGGUGAACAGCAGUCCUCCGUGGCUCUCCCGUCAUCCUUGGAGAUGACAACGCAGACUUCUUCAAGAAUUUGAGGUUCAGGAGCAGCCAAUAUGAUGCAGGUGUGACGGCUGAAGAUGGUGUGAGUUUAGGAUGGCAUGAAGCUUCGACUUGACCCUAUGGAAACACAGCAGAUGCCACCAAAGGGUCCUGAUCGGGGACUCUGAUGACCUUCUGGACGUGUCCCACGCCUCCAUUGGGACCCUGACAGUGCUGAAGACAUCGUGGCCUCCUCACUCGCUGAACCUGGAGUCUACAGCUACUGCCAUCGUUUUGGGAGGAACAGUCGUGAUGGGUGACCGUGAUAAUCUUCCCCGUGCCGUGUGGCUACUCUUCGGACUUAUUUACCCCUGAAUUUGGAGUAUCCUCAACGAGUGAGGAACACCUUCUGAAUUUAUUCAUAGAGUGCUUCUCACUUGGACCAAAAACCCUAAAAUACAAUCACUCAAAAAUCUACUGAUGCCAUAAGGGACUGUGUUCAUGAUGUGCAGUCAGGCCCGAGAACUUCACCCUUCUAUCUCCAAUUGAACUCUUUUCUAGAAAAUGUCUGUUUUUGUUGUUUUUCUGUCGUGAAAUUUAGCAAAUGCCGAAAACGCUGUGUUCAUCAUAUUUCUGCGUUACAAAACCUAAUCUGGCAACAUGUUCAGUGUUUUAAGCACGUUGUUUGAGUUUUAAAACAUGUGUUUUUCUUCUAAAUAAACGUUGUCUUCCAUUGUAA